rnacentral:rRNA from 2 species
ACAUGCAGUCGAGCGGACAGAUGGGAGCUUGCUCCCUGAAGUCAGCGGCGGACGGGUGAGUAACACGUGGGCAACCUGCCUGUAAGACUGGGAUAACUCCGGGAAACCGGGGCUAAUACCGGAUGAUUCUUUCCCUCACAUGAGGGAAAGCUGAAAGAUGGUUUCGGCUAUCACUUACAGAUGGGCCCGCGGCGCAUUAGCUAGUUGGUGAGGUAACGGCUCACCAAGGCGACGAUGCGUAGCCGACCUGAGAGGGUGAUCGGCCACACUGGGACUGAGACACGGCCCAGACUCCUACGGGAGGCAGCAGUAGGGAAUCUUCCGCAAUGGACGAAAGUCUGACGGAGCAACGCCGCGUGAGUGAUGAAGGUUUUCGGAUCGUAAAACUCUGUUGUUAGGGAAGAACAAGUACCGGAGUAACUGCCGGUACCUUGACGGUACCUAACCAGAAAGCCACGGCUAACUACGUGCCAGCAGCCGCGGUAAUACGUAGGUGGCAAGCGUUGUCCGGAAUUAUUGGGCGUAAAGCGCGCGCAGGCGGUUCCUUAAGUCUGAUGUGAAAGCCCCCGGCUCAACCGGGGAGGGUCAUUGGAAACUGGGGAACUUGAGUGCAGAAGAGAAGAGUGGAAUUCCACGUGUAGCGGUGAAAUGCGUAGAGAUGUGGAGGAACACCAGUGGCGAAGGCGACUCUCUGGUCUGUAACUGACGCUGAG